UACGUAGGGGGCAAGCGUUGUCCGGAUUUAUUGGGCGUAAAGAGCGUGUAGGCGGCCAUACAGGUCAGCUGUGAAAACUCGAGGCUCAACCUCGAGACGUCGGUUGAAACCGUAUGGCUAGAGUCCGGAAGAGGAGAGUGGAAUUCCCGGUGUAGCGGUGAAAUGCGCAGAUAUCGGGAAGAACACCCGUGGCGAAGGCAGAUCUCUGGGCCGUAACUGACGCUGAGGAGCGAAAGCAUGGGGAGCGAACAGG
rnacentral:rRNA from 1 species